UACGUAGGGUGCAAGCGUUGUCCGGAAUUAUUGGGCGUAAAGAGCUCGUAGGCGGUUUGUCGCGUCUGCUGUGAAAACUCGGGGCUUAACUCCGGGCCUGCAGUGGGUACGGGGCAGACUAGAGUGCGGUAGGGGAGACUGGAAUUCCUGGUGUAGCGGUGAAAUGCGCAGAUAUCAGGAGGAACACCGGUGGCGAAGGCGGGUCUCUGGGCAGUAACUGACGCUGAGGAGCGAAAGCGUGGGGAGCGAACAGG
rnacentral:rRNA from 1 species